CCUACGGGAGGCAGCAGUGGGGGAUAUUGCACAAUGGGGGAAACCCUGAUGCAGCGACGCCGCGUGUGGGAAGACGGUCCUCUGGAUUGUAAACCACUGUCCCCAGGGACGAAGAUGACGGUACCUGGGGAGGAAGCUCCGGCUAACUACGUGCCAGCAGCCGCGGUAAUACGUAGGGAGCGAGCGUUGUCCGGAAUUACUGGGUGUAAAGGGAGCGUAGGCGGGGAUGCAAGUUGGGUGUCAAAACUACCGGCUCAACUGGUAGUCGCACUCAAAACUGCAGCUCUUGAGUGAAGUAGAGGCAGGCGGAAUUCCUAGUGUAGCGGUGAAAUGCGUAGAUAUAUGGAAGAACACCAGUGGCGAAGGCGGCCGCCUGGCCUGUUACUGACGCUGAGGCACGAAAGCGUGGGGAGCAAAUAGGAUUAGAUACCCCAGUAGUC
rnacentral:rRNA from 1 species